UAUCAUGCAUCUACUGAAAAUAUGUCCAGCAGCAGCAGCGGUUGGCCAUCAUAAUAUCUGUGUUGUAUCAUGUGGAUUAUCCAUAGUAAUAGCAAAUCGAUGCUGAAUUUUAAUUGAAGGGACAAAUGAAGAACAACAAAGAGUGGCUUCUAUAGUAUCUUCUUGGAUUCAAGCACGAGAGCUUUGGUCUCAAGAUGAAGAACCAGAAUAGUCCAAGUAAUUGAGGACUUUCAACCUGAAUAUAUGGAAUCAGCUUUAAUGUGUACUGUAUGUGGCCAGUCUGGACACCACAACUUCAGACUUAGAGUGGAAUCCUGAAAAUAUUACUCGUUUCCUGGAGCAACAAGAGAUGUCAUCUAUGAAUGAAGUUUCUGGAGUUUGUUGGAACCAAGCUCGAGACAUAAGGUCAGAUAUUCCAGAAGCUGAUGAAAGAUCCCAACAAAAUAUAGUGUUGUUCAAUAUAAGAAGAGCAGCUGAAACACCAGGACAUUGCGUUUUUCAAGAAUGCAUGAAUCCUGAGCAAAAUGUUGUGCCUCGAGUUGCCUGUGCCUGUGUUGUGUUGUUGUGCUUUAAGCUAAAAAAAGUCCUGCCAUUUAACUGCC